GACAGAGGGUGCAAACGUUGUUCGGAAUUACUGGGCGUAAAGCGUGUGUAGGCGGCUAAGCAAGUCGGAUGUGAAAGCCCCGGGCUCAACCCGGGAAGUGCACUCGAUACUGCAGAGCUUGAGUGUCGGAGAGGUUGGUGGAAUUCUCGGUGUAGAGGUGAAAUUCGUAGAUAUCGAGAGGAACACCGGCGGCGAAGGCGGCCAACUGGACGAACACUGACGCUGAGGCGCGAAAGCUAGGGUAGCAAACGGG
rnacentral:rRNA from 1 species